rnacentral:rRNA from 1 species
AACGGAGGGGACGAGUGUUAUUCAUCAUGAUUGGGCGUAAAGGGUACGUAGGCGGCUUUUCAAGUAUAAAGCAAAAGCUAGGGAAUAAGUCUUGAAAUGUUUUAUAUACUCAAAAGCUAGAGUACGGGAGAGGAUAUAGGGAAUUACGGUGGAGGGGUGAAAUCCGGUGAUAUUUGUAAAUACUACUAACUGGCGAAGGCGUGUAUCUGGCCCGAAACUGACGCUGAGGUACGAAAGCAUGGGUAUCGAUCAGG